UUGAAAGGGAAACGAUUGAAGUCAGUCGUACCAGCGGGAAAUCAACCUUUCGAGUGGGGGUUUUGGAGUUUUGAAGAGUGUCAAAACCUUUGAGAUUUCAAAAUAUUCGCUCUUUUGGUGUACUUUCUCGUGGGUAGGUUAACAUCGAUUUUGAUCAUCAUAAAAAGAUUGGAGGAAUGUAGCUUCGAUCUUGUAUUGAAGUGUUAUAGCCUUUGGUAAAUGUGAUGAUUAGGAUCGAGGAUUGCAACGAAUACCCUUUUGGGCUAUCCGCCUGAUCUCUGAUACGUGGCCUUGGUAUCGAAAGCUUGCUUAUGGUAUUAAGGUAUUACGGUCAAAAGGUUAGAACGGAUUACAUUCGUUAAGGAUGUUGACGUA
rnacentral:rRNA from 1 species